GCGUCCAACCCUGUCAUGCGAAGGCUUUGGGGUGGUGAAACUCAGGACAUGCCCUCUUCCCACUAUUCCAAAAACCCCUGGCGAGGUGCGCUGAUGACUGAAGAAGUAGUGCCUGCGGGGCCUGAGGCUGCUGAUGAAGAGGCUGCUGUUGAAGAAGGGGCUGCAGCUGUUGGAGAAUCUGCUGUACCGCUCCUGUGGCUGGGGUUCUGGUCACGAAGACGGCAACGAGGUACGACCUCGGGUCCUCGGUCUGCGGUGGCAGCUGCUGCUGAGGGUGAUGUGACCUCCACGGAUGAUGAUGCGCGUCGGGCGACUGCUGCUGGUCCUCAUCAAUCCUCCUAGGGUCCGUCCUCCGCACGCGGAGAAAGCUAGACAUAGGGUCAAACACGAUCGGAAGAAUUCCGUUUGAACAAAUUGAAUACAGACAUGAGUCUAUAAUAACGAAGGCGACUGAGCAGAUACUAGCUCGUGAACAUAAGCUCGGGAGCUCCGGGGAUCGAACAUAAUACUACGAACAUACUGAAUAAAUACAAAAAUCUCAACACAACACUAUAGAAGGGC
rnacentral:rRNA from 1 species